GGCAGAGUGCCCGACUGGCCGAAGGAGCACGCUUGGAAAGCGUGUAUUAAUGAAAAUGUAUCGUGGGUUCGAAUCCCACCUUCUCCU
rnacentral:tRNA from 1 species